UACGUAGGGUGCAAGCGUUGUCCGGAAUUAUUGGGCGUAAAGGGCUCGUAGGCGGUCUGUUGCGUCGGGAGUGAAAAUUCACAGCUUAACUGUGAACUUGCUUCCGAUACGGGCAGACUAGAGGUAGGUAGGGGAGAAUGGAAUUCCCGGUGUAGCGGUGAAAUGCGCAGAUAUCGGGAGGAACACCGGUGGCGAAGGCGGUUCUCUGGGCCUUACCUGACGCUGAGGAGCGAAAGCGUGGGGAGCGAACAGG
rnacentral:rRNA from 1 species